GUGCUUGCUUCGGCAGCACAUAUACUAAAAUUAGAACGAUACAGAGAAGGUUAGCAUGGCCCCUGUGCAAAGAUCACAUGCAAAUUCGUGAAGCAUUCCAUAUUUAA
ensembl:snRNA U6 U6 spliceosomal RNA